rfam:Haemonchus placei strain MHpl1 genome assembly, scaffold: HPLM_scaffold0001552
GGCACAAACUUGGAGUAGAAUAGUUGGGUAUGGUCAGCUGAUCCUACUAAUCUACACUGCUUCAAGUUUGAGCUC